CCUCAGCAGCAGUUAAUUUAGCAGGCUUAUUUAUUGUCAUGUGUAUGGUCCAGUGCUUUAGUUCUCUGUCACGAUAUUUAGUAAUUAGUUUCUUGCAAUUAAAAAGAGAUAAUAAGUUUGUCCUCUGGCUGGUUUUAUCAUUCAGCAUGUUUUAUCACGAAGUCGUUUUCAGGCUUCUCCUUGAACGGCGUGGCCCGCUGUGGCUGCGUUGAGGACUUGCAGAAAGACCCGCAGGCCAAUGACUGCAUGAGGGGGUACGCGACGUAUUUACAUCAGUCCGCCCAGAACGGCGUAGGCAUUUUCAACAUUGUCGGCAUGCUAUGCAGCGCAGAGGGACAGGCAGCCAUUAGUUGCGUGUAUGACUUCAUAGCCCGAUGUCCUGAGAUGAUUGAAAGUCAGGGUCUAGGUUCAAUACCACCACGAGAGCAAAUUAAAGCCAUAUGUAAAAUGCCACCUGGACUCGGUGGUUUGUUCAAUACGAAAUGCCAGGUCGCUGCAAAUUGCCUCACUGAAAGUGGUUCUAACAGAGAUUUUCCAGAUUGGCUCGAAGAACCGGAGGAGCCGGAAACACUAUUCAACAACAACAACAACAUUUAUUAGCUUUUAAGCAUAAAAUUGCUUUUUAGCCAAAUGUAUAAUAUACACGUGUAAAGACAUGGAUGAUAAUAAUUAUGAGAAUAAGAUAAUAAUUAUGAAAACUAUGCAAUGGAAGAAGUUAACAAAUAUUUUACUGAUUUAUAACCUAAGAUAUGUUCCUUUAACAUCGAUAAUGACAAUUGGUAAUACAAUCAUGUGACACAAAUAUUUUACUGAUUUAUAACAUUAG